CUAGAAAACUACAUGUCCAGUACUCCAGCCAGUUGCCUGGGUGCUCUGAGUUCUAAUUCUGGAGAGCCUCACAGCCAGCUGAGUCCAGAAGUCCCGCCCAAUAAUAUGGACUUUGGGCUAGCUGGGCAGACUGCAGUUGAGCCAGAUACCUGGAAGGCAGAACUCUUUCCAUUUAUUUAUACCAGAUGAGUCAAUUUGGACUGGAUAGUCAGCCGCAGUGGUUCAGUAACCAAUUUUUGCUGGACCCCUCCUGGAGGAUCCAUCCAUACACACUUCAAACCCCAUCUCUGAGCCUGGAGGUGUUCCUACCAAGCAGCUACCGGGCUUGGCCAGCGCUUUGGCGCCCUCUGGCGGGCAUUACGUCUAAUGACAGCUCAGAGGCCUGCCUCCUGCCUCCUGAACAGACCCCUGGAUGGACUGCACUGGGCUUGUGCACUGGGUAGUUGCUGUAAUACCUCCUCUCAUUCUAAAACUACCAUUUUCCUCUCAUAGUCAGCAAUGGUGCUCACGCCUCCCAAUCCUUCCCCUCUAAGUCAUUGAGCCGAACCCACUCUCAAUCACGUGACCAGAUUUCAAUGAAUCAGCCUCCCCGUCUUCAUUUCUGCCACUUGGGUCGAGGUGAGAUUUUCACCAUCAGGGGUGAAUGAGAGGAGGGGAGAAGCUCAGACGGAAGGAAAAGAAGGAAUCUUACAGAAAACCUUCAAGAGAUGAGUCUCUGGGAUGGAUGAACCUGCUGACCAGAGAAAUGCUGCUUUUGCACCCUCCAUUCACAGCCACCCACCCAGCUGCCCAGAGGCCACACACUGCGCAAGCCUGUUCUGGGAGCGCUGCAAGCCCGGUAUUCCAUCCCACACCCUUUUGUCUCAGAUGCAGCCUCUGCAGAAUCCAAAGCAGUCAGAACGCUUCACGGACUGUCCAAUCAUCUGGACUUCAGGCUACCUGAGCUGUCAGAAAGUGACCCGCAGAUGGGAAGAGCAGGACAAGGUCCUUCCUAUCAGAUGCCAAACAUCAUGGAAGCCUGAUUCUGGACAACCAAAUGCCCAAUACUCAAACCAACCGCAUGUGUUUCAGAAUUCUACCUCUAGAGAAUCAAAAGGCAGUCUGAACCUUUAA
rnacentral:lncRNA from 1 species